rnacentral:misc_RNA from 1 species
UACAGAGGGUGCAAGCGUUGUCCGGAUUUAUUGGGUUUAAAGGGUGCGUAGGCGGAUGUCUAAGUCAGUGGUGAAAGUUUGCGGCUCAACCGUAAAAUUGCCAUUGAUACUGGAUAUCUUGAGUACAGUUGAGGUAGGCGGAAUUCAUGGUGUAGCGGUGAAAUGCAUAGAUACCAUGAAGAACACCUAUAGCGAAGGCAGCUUACUAAACUGUAACUGACGCUGAGGCACGAAAGCGUGGGGAUCAAACAGG